rnacentral:rRNA from 1 species
GGUCGCCUACGGGAGGCAGCAGUAGGGAAUAUUGCGCAAUGGGGGAAACCCUGAUGCAGCAACGCCGCGUGAAGGAAGACGGUUUUCGGAUUGUAAACUUCUGUUCUUAGUGAAGAAAAAUGACGGUAGCUAAGGAGCAAGCCACGGCUAACUACGUGCCAGCAGCCGCGGUAAUACGUAGGUGGCAAGCGUUGUCCGGAAUUACUGGGUGUAAAGGGAGCGCAGGCGGGAAGCCAAGUCAGCUGUGAAAACUACGGGCUUAACUUGUAGACUGCAGUUGAAACUGUGUUUCUUUAGUGAAGUAG